GUGGGGAAUAUUGGACAAUGGGCGAAAGCCUGAUCCAGCCAUGCCGCGUGUGUGAAGAAGGUCUUCGGAUUGUAAAGCACUUUAAGUUGGGAGGAAGGGCAGUAAGUUAAUACCUUGCUGUUUUGACGUUACCAACAGAAUAAGCACCGGCUAACUUCGUGCCAGCAGCCGCGGUAAUACGAAGGGUGCAAGCGUUAAUCGGAAUUACUGGGCGUAAAGCGCGCGUAGGUGGUUUUGUAAGUUGGAGGUGAAAUCCCCGGACUCAACCUGGGAACUGCCUCCAAAAAUGCAUGACUAGAGUACGGUAGAGGGUAGUGGAAUUUCCUGUGUAGCGGUGAAAUGCGUAGAUAUAGGAAGGAACACCAGUGGCGAAGGCGACUACCUGGACUGAUACUGACACUGAGGUGCGAAAGCGUGGGGAGCAAACAGGAUUAGAAACCCCGGUAGUCC
rnacentral:rRNA from 1 species